UGUUGGGCCUCGCGCAAUGCGGGUUUGUGAACCCCGUCAGGUCCGGAAGGAAGCAGCGGUGACAACACUUUGCGUGUGCUGCGGGACUACCCAGCAAUU
rnacentral:SRP_RNA from 1 species